rnacentral:snRNA from 1 species
GUACUGGAGUGGGUUGCCAUUGCCUUCUCCACACUUCAGCAGCACAUACACUAAAAAUUGGAACCAUACAGAGAAGAUUAACAUAGCCCUGUGCAAGGAUAACGUGCAAAUUCAUGAAGCAUUCCAUAUUUUU